rnacentral:SRP_RNA from 1 species
ACUAGAUGUGCUGGCAUGCGCCUUUAGUCCUAGCUACUCGGGAGGCUGAAGUGGGAGGCUCACUUGAGCCCAGUUCUGGGCUGUUGUGCACUAUGCCGAUCGGUGUCCGCAUUGAGUUCAGCAUCAGUAUGGUGGCCUCCAGGGAGCGGGGACCACCAGGUUGCCUGAGGAGGGGUGACCGUCCCAAGUUAGAAAUAGUGUAGGUCAGAACUCUUGGGCUGAUUGGUGGUGAGGCUGUGCCUGGGAAUAGCCACCGCACUCCAGUCUGGGCAACACAGCUAGAUCCUU